rnacentral:rRNA from 1 species
AGAAUUUGAUCUUGGUUCAGGAUGAACGCUGGCAGCGUGCCUAACACAUGCAAGUCGAACGGAGUUAUAUAACGGAAGUUUUCGGAUGGAAGAUAUGUAACUUAGUGGCGGACGGGUGAGUAACGCGUGGGCAACCUGCCCUGUACCGGGGGGAUAACACUUAGAAAUAGGUGCUAAUACCGCAUAAGCGCACAGCUUCGCAUGAAGCAGUGUGAAAAACUCCGGUGGUACAGGAUGGACCCGCGUCUGAUUAGCUAGUUGGUGGGGUAGAGGCCCACCAAGGCGACGAUCAGUAGCCGGCCUGAGAGGGUGACCGGCCACAUUGGGACUGAGACACGGCCCAAACUCCUACGGGAGGCAGCAGUGGGGAAUAUUGCACAAUGGGGGAAACCCUGAUGCCAGCGACGCCGCGUGAGUGAAGAAGUAUUUCGGUACGUAAAGCUCUAUCAGCAGGGAAGAAAAUGACGGUACCUGACUAAGAAGCCCCGGCUAACUACGUGCCAGCCGCAGC